GACGAACGCUGGCGGCGUGCCUAAUACAUGCAAGUCGAACGCACAGUUCAUACCUUCGCUUGCUACACCAUAGACUGCGAGUUGCGAACGGGUGAGUAACGCGUAGGUAAUCUGCCUGGUAGCGGGGGAUAACUAUUGGAAACGAUAGCUAAUACCUCUUGAUAUUGAUUAUUGCAUGAUUAUUUAUGGAAAGUUGCUGUUGCAUCACUACCAGAUGGACCUGCGUUGUAUUAGCUAGUAGGGGAGGUAACGGCUAACCUAGGGGACGAUACGUAGCCGACCUGAGAGGGUGAUCGGCCACACUGGGACUGGGACACGGCCCAGACUCCUGCGAGAGGCAGCAGUCGGGAACCUUCGGCAAUGGACGAAAGUCUGACCGAGAGACGCCGCGUGAGUGACGAAGGUUUUCGGAUCGUAAAGCUCUGUUGUGAGUGAAGAACGGGUGUGAGUGUGGAAAGUUCACACUGUGACGGUAUCUUACCAGAAAGGGACGGCUAACUACGUG
rnacentral:rRNA from 1 species